GCCGCUGUAGCUCAGUUGGUAGAGCAAUUGAUUCGUAAUCAGGAGGUCGCCAGUUCGAUUCUGGCCCGCGGCACCA
rnacentral:tRNA from 1 species